AGGGGAGUAGCUCAAUUGGCAGAGCAACGGCCUCCAAAUCCGUAGGUUCCGGGUUCGAUUCCUGGCUCCCCUGC
rnacentral:tRNA from 1 species